rnacentral:rRNA from 1 species
GACCAGACUCCUACGGGAGGCAGCAGUGGGGAAUAUUGCACAAUGGGGGAAACCCUGAUGCAGCGACGCCGCGUGAGCGAUGAAGUAUUUCGGUAUGUAAAGCUCUAUCAGCAGGGAAGAAAAUGACGGUACCUGACUAAGAAGCCCCGGCUAACUACGUGCCAGCAGCCGCGGUAAUACGUAGGGGGCAAGCGUUAUCCGGAUUUACUGGGUGUAAAGGGGGCGCAGACGGCGAUGCAAGCCAGGAGUGAAAGCCCGGGGCCCAACCCCGGGACUGCUCUUGGAACUGCGUGGCUGGAGUGCAGGAGAGGCAGGCGGAAUUCCUAGUGUAGCGGUGAAAUGCGUAGAUAUUAGGAGGAACACCGGUGGCGAAGGCGGCCUGCUGGACUGUAACUGACGUUGAGGCUCGAAAGCGUGGGGAGCAAACAGGAUUAGAUACCCUAGUA